rnacentral:rRNA from 1 species
CCUACGGGUGGCUGCAGUGGGGAAUAUUGCACAAUGGGCGGAAGCCUGAUGCAGCGACGCCGCGUGAGGGAUGAAGGCCUUCGGGUUGUAAACCUCUUUCAGCAGGGACGAAGCGUGAGUGACGGUACCUGCAGAAGAAGCACCGGCUAACUACGUGCCAGCAGCCGCGGUAAUACGUAGGGUGCGAGCGUUGUCCGGAAUUACUGGGCGUAAAGAGUUCGUAGGCGGUUUGUCGCGUCGUUUGUGAAAACCCGGGGCUGAACUUCGGUCUUGCAUGCGAUACGGGCAGACUUGAGUGUUUCAGGGGAGACUGGAAUUCCUGGUGUAGCGGUGAAAUGCGCAGAUAUCAGGAGGAACACCGGUGGCGAAGGCGGGUCUCUGGGAAACAACUGACGCUGAGGAACGAAAGCGUGGGUAGCAAACAGGAUUAGAUACCCGAGUAGUC